UACUGAUUGAGAUUUUAACACGAAGUGAGUGGCGAACGGGUGAGUAACACGUGGGUAACCUGCCCAGAAGUAGGGGAUAACACCUGGAAACAGAUGCUAAUACCGUAUAACCUAUACAGAGAAAACCGCAUGGUUUUCUUUUAAAGAUGGCUCUGCUACACUUCUGGAUGGACCCGCGGCGUAUUAGCUAGUUGGUGAGGUAAAGGCUCACCAAGGCAGUGAUACGUAGCCGACCUGAGAGGGUAAUCGGCCACAUUGGGACUGAGACACGGCCCAGACUCCUACGGGAGGCAGCAGUAGGGAAUCUUCCACAAUGGACGCAAGUCUGAUGGAGCAACGCCGCGUGAGUGAAGAAGGGUUUCGGCUCGUAAAGCUCUGUUGUUAAAGAAGAACGUGGGUAAGAGUAACUGUUUACCCAGUGACGGUAUUUAACCAGAAAGCCACGGCUAACUACGUGCCAGCAGCCGCGGUAAUACGUAGGUGGCAAGCGUUAUCCGGAUUUAUUGGGCGUAAAGCGAGCGCAGGCGGUCUUUUAAGUCUAAUGUGAAAGCCUUCGGCUCAACCGAAGAAGUGCAUUGGAAACUGGGAGACUUGAGUGCAGAAGAGGACAGUGGAACUCCAUGUGUAGCGGUGAAAUGCGUAGAUAUAUGGAAGAACACCAGUGGCGAAGGCGGCUGUCUGGUCUGCAACUGACGCUGAGGCUCGAAAGCAUGGGUAGCGAACAGGAUUAGAUACCCUGGUAGUCCAUGCCGUAAACGAUGAUUACUAAGUGUUGGAGGGUUUCCGCCCUUCAGUGCUGCAGCUAACGCAUUAAGUAAUCCGCCUGGGGAGUACGACCGCAAGGUUGAAACUCAAAAGAAUUGACGGGGGCCCGCACAAGCGGUGGAGCAUGUGGUUUAAUUCGAAGCUACGCGAAGAACCUUACCAGGUCUUGACAUCUUCUGACAGUCUAAGAGAUUAGAGGUUCCCUUCGGGGACAGAAUGACAGGUGGUGCAUGGUUGUCGUCAGCUCGUGUCGUGAGAUGUUGGGUUAAGUCCCGCAACGAGCGCAACCCUUAUUACUAGUUG
rnacentral:rRNA from 1 species